CCUACGGGAGGCAGCAGUGGGGAAUUUUGGACAAUGGGCGAAAGCCUGAUCCAGCAAUGCCGCGUGCAGGAAGAAGGCCUUCGGGUUGUAAACUGCUUUUGUACGGAACGAAACGGUCUGCUUUAAUACAGUGGGCUAAUGACGGUACCGUAAGAAUAAGCACCGGCUAACUACGUGCCAGCAGCCGCGGUAAUACGUAGGGUGCGAGCGUUAAUCGGAAUUACUGGGCGUAAAGCGUGCGCAGGCGGUUAUAUAAGACAGUUGUGAAAUCCCCGGGCUCAACCUGGGAAUUGCAUCUGUGACUGUAUAGCUAGAGUACGGUAGAGGGGGAUGGAAUUCCGCGUGUAGCAGUGAAAUGCGUAGAUAUGCGGAGGAACACCGAUGGCGAAGGCAAUCCCCUGGACCUGUACUGACGCUCAUGCACGAAAGCGUGGGGAGCAAACAGGAUUAGAUACCCUGGUAGUCCACGCCCUAAACGAUGUCAACUGGUUGUUGGGUGCAUUAGUACUCAGUAACGAAGCUAACGCGUGAAGUUGACCGCCUGGGGAGUACGGCCGCAAGGUUGAACUUAAGGAAUUGAGGCUGNGAGNGCGACGACGACGACGAGGGAGGAGG
rnacentral:rRNA from 1 species